CUACGGGUGGCAGCAGUGGGGAAUAUUGGACAAUGGGCGAAAGCCUGAUCCAGCCAUGCCGCGUGUGUGAAGAAGGCCUUCGGGUUGUAAAGCACUUUCAGUGGGGAAGAAAGCCUUGGGGCUAAUACCCUCGAGGAAGGACAUCACCCACAGAAGAAGCACCGGCUAACUCCGUGCCAGCAGCCGCGGUAAUACGGAGGGUGCGAGCGUUAAUCGGAAUUACUGGGCGUAAAGCGCGCGUAGGCGGUCUGAUAAGCCGGUUGUGAAAGCCCCGGGCUCAACCUGGGAACGGCAUCCGGAACUGUCAGGCUAGAGUGCAGGAGAGGAAGGUAGAAUCCCCGGUGUAGCGGUGAAAUGCGUAGAGAUCGGGAGGAAUACCAGUGGCGAAGGCGGCCUUCUGGACUGACACUGACGCUGAGGUGCGAAAGCGUGGGUAGCAAACAGGAUUAGAUACCCUGGUAGUC
rnacentral:rRNA from 1 species